ACAUGCAAGUCGAGCGGUAGAGAGAAGCUUGCUUCUCUUGAGAGCGGCGGACGGGUGAGUAAUACCUGGGAAUCUGCCUGAUAGUGGGGGAUAACGUUCGGAAACGGACGCUAAUACCGCAUACGUCUACGGGAGAAAGCAGGGGAUCUUCGGACCUUGCGCUAUCAGAUGAGCCCAGGUCGGAUUAGCUUGUUGGUGAGGUAACGGCUCACCAAGGCUGCGAUCCGUAACUGGUCUGAGAGGAUGAUCAGUCACACUGGAACUGAGACACGGUCCAGACUCUACGGGAGGCAGCAGUGGGGAAUAUUGGACAAUGGGGGAAACCCUGAUCCAGCCAUGCCGCGUGUGUGAAGAAGGUCUUCGGAUUGUAAAGCACUUUAAGUUGGGAGGAAGGGCUGAUGCUUAAUACGUAUCAGUCUUGACGUUACCGACAGAAUAAGCACCGGCUAACUCUGUGCCAGCAGCCGCGGUAAUACAGAGGGUGCAAGCGUUAAUCGGAAUUACUGGGCGUAAAGCGCGCGUAGGUGGCUAAGUAAGAUGGGUGUGAAAUCCCCGGGCUCAACCUGGGAACUGCAUCCAUAACUGCUUGGCUAGAGUACGGUAGAGGGUAGUGGAAUUUCCUGUGUAGCGGUGAAAUGCGUAGAUAUAGGAAGGAACACCAGUGGCGAAGGCGACUACCUGGACUGAUACUGACACUGA
rnacentral:rRNA from 1 species